rnacentral:rRNA from 1 species
UACCAGCUCUCCGAGUGGUGUGGAUGUUUAUUGGGCCUAAAGCAUCCGUAGCUGGCUGGACAAGUCCCCUGUUAAAUCCACCGAUUUAAUCGUUGGUGUGCGGGGGAUACUGUUCGGCUAGGGGACGGGAGAGGCCGACGGUAUUUCCGGGGUAGGGGUGAAAUCCUAUAAUCCCGGGAAGACCACCAGUGGCGAAGGCUGUCGGCUAGAACGCGCCCGACGGUGAGGGAUGAAAGCUGGGGGAGCGAACCGGAUUAGAUACCCGGGUAGUCCCAGCUGUAAACGAUGCAGGCUAGGUGUUUGGGCGGCCACGUGCCGCUCUAGUGCCGCAAGGAAGCUGUUAAGCCUGCCGCCUGGGGAGUACGGCCGCAAGGCUGAAACUUAAAGGAAUUGGCGGGGAGCACAGCAACGGGUGGAGCGUGCGGUUU